rnacentral:rRNA from 1 species
UACGGAGGGUGCGAGCGUUGUCCGGAAUUACUGGGCGUAAAGCGCGUGUAGGCGGCAGCGCAAGUCGGAUGUGAAAUCCCAUGGCUCAACCAUGGAAGUGCACCCGAAACUGCGUCGCUAGAGUCCUGGAGAGGAAGGUGGAAUGCUUGGUGUAGAGGUGAAAUUCGUAGAUAUCAAGCGGAACACCGGUGGCGAAGGCGGCCUUCUGGACAGUGACUGACGCUGAGACGCGAAAGCGUGGGGAGCAAACAGG